rnacentral:rRNA from 1 species
AACUACGAGCACAAACGCUUAAAACUCUAAGGACUUGGCGGUGCUCUAAACCCACCUAGAGGAGCCUGUUCUAUAAUCGAUAACCCACGAUUCACCCGACCACCUCUUGCCAAAACAGCCUAUAUACCGCCGUCGCCAGCCCACCUCGUGAGAGCACAACAGUGAGCCCAACAGCCCACAGCCCACUAACAAGACAGGUCGAGGUAUAGCCUAUGAGAUGGAAGAAAUGGGCUACAUUUUCUAAAAUAGAAAACCCAACGAAAAGGGGCUUGAAACCUGCCCCCAGAAGGCGGAUUUAGCAGUAAAGUAGGAUAA